UACCCGGCUAACUUAAGCAUAUCAAUAAGCGGAGGAAAAGAAACCAACAGGGAUUACCUCAGUAACGGCGAGUGAAGCGGUAACAGCUCAAAUUUGAAAUCUGGCCUCACGGUCCGAGUUGUAAUUUGUAGAGGAUGCUUCGAGCAUGGUCUGGCCUAAGUUCCUUGGAACAGGACGUCAUAGAGGGUGAGAAUCCCGUAUGCGGCCAGGUGCCUACGCUCAUGUGAAGCUCCUUCGACGAGUCGAGUUGUUUGGGAAUGCAGCUCAAAAUGGGUGGUAAAUUUCAUCUAAAGCUAAAUAUUGGCCAGAGACCGAUAGCGCACAAGUAGAGUGAUCGAAAGAUGAAAAGCACUUUGGAAAGAGAGUUAAACAGUACGUGAAAUUGUUGAAAGGGAAGCGCUUGCAACCAGACUUGCGCGCGGCCGAUCAUCUGGUGUUCUCACCAGUGCACUCGGCCGUGCUCAGGCCAGCAUCGGUUUUGGCGGCUGGAUAAAGGCCCUAGGAAUGUAGCUCCUCUCGGGGAGUGUUAUAGCCUAGGGUGCAAUGCAGCCUGCCGGGACCGAGGACCGCGCUUCGGCUAGGAUGCUGGCGUAAUGGUUGUAAGCGGCCCGUCUUGAA
rnacentral:rRNA from 1 species